rnacentral:rRNA from 1 species
CGCUUCUUUUUCACCGGAGCUUGCUCCACCGGAAAAAGAAGAGUGGCGAACGGGUGAGUAACACGUGGGUAACCUGCCCAUCAGAAGGGGAUAACACUUGGAAACAGGUGCUAAUACCGUAUAACAAUCGAAACCGCAUGGUUUUGAUUUGAAAGGCGCUUUCGGGUGUCGCUGAUGGAUGGACCCGCGGUGCAUUAGCUAGUUGGUGAGGUAACGGCUCACCAAGGCCACGAUGCAUAGCCGACCUGAGAGGGUGAUCGGCCACAUUGGGACUGAGACACGGCCCAAACUCCUACGGGAGGCAGCAGUAGGGAAUCUUCGGCAAUGGACGAAAGUCUGACCGAGCAACGCCGCGUGAGUGAAGAAGGUUUUCGGAUCGUAAAACUCUGUUGUUAGAGAAGAACAAGGAUGAGAGUAACUGUUCAUCCCUUGACGGUAUCUAACCAGAAAGCCACGGCUAACUACGUGCCAGCAGCCGCGGUAAUACGUAGGUGGCAAGCGUUGUCCGGAUUUAUUGGGCGUAAAGCGAGCGCAGGCGGUUUCUUAAGUCUGAUGUGAAAGCCCCCGGCUCAACCGGGGAGGGUCAUUGGAAACUGGGAGACUUGAGUGCAGAAGAGGAGAGUGGAAUUCCAUGUGUAGCGGUGAAAUGCGUAGAUAUAUGGAGGAACACCAGUGGCGAAGGCGGCUCUCUGGUCUGUAACUGACGCUGAGGCUCGAAAGCGUGGGGAGCAAACAGGAUUAGAUACCCUGGUAGUCCACGCCGUAAACGAUGAGUGCUAAGUGUUGGAGGGUUUCCGCCCUUCAGUGCUGCAGCUAACGCAUUAAGCACUCCGCCUGGGGAGUACGACCGCAAGGUUGAAACUCAAAGGAAUUGACGGGGGCCCGCACAAGCGGUGGAGCAUGUGGUUUAAUUCGAAGCAACGCGAAGAACCUUACCAGGUCUUGACAUCCUUUGACCACUCUAGAGAUAGAGCUUCCCCUUCGGGGGCAAAGUGACAGGUGGUGCAUGGUUGUCGUCAGCUCGUGUCGUGAGAUGUUGGGUUAAGUCCCGCAACGAGCGCAACCCUUAUUGUUAGUUGCCAUCAUUUAGUUGGGCACUCUAGCAAGACUGCCGGUGACAAACCGGAGGAAGGUGGGGAUGACGUCAAAUCAUCAUGCCCCUUAUGACCUGGGCUACACACGUGCUACAAUGGGAAGUACAACGAGUCGCGAAGUCGCGAGGCUAAGCUAAUCUCUUAAAGCUUCUCUCAGUUCGGAUUGUAGGCUGCAACUCGCCUACAUGAAGCCGGAAUCGCUAGUAAUCGCGGAUCAGCACGCCGCGGUGAAUACGUUCCCGGGCCUUGUACACACCGCCCGUCACACCACGAGAGUUUGUAACACCCGAAGUCGGUGAG